rnacentral:scRNA from 1 species
GGGGGCGACGAUGACGCGUGAAGACCUGCUCG